CCUACGGGAGGCUGCAGUGGGGAAUAUUGGACAAUGGGCGAAAGCCUGAUCCAGCCAUGCCGCGUGUGUGAAGAAGGCCUUCGGGUUGUAAAGCACUUUCAGUGGGGAAGAAAGCCUUGGGGCUAAUACCCUCGAGGAAGGACAUCACCCACAGAAGAAGCACCGGCUAACUCCGUGCCAGCAGCCGCGGUAAUACGGAGGGUGCGAGCGUUAAUCGGAAUUACUGGGCGUAAAGCGCGCGUAGGCGGUCUGAUAAGCCGGUUGUGAAAGCCCCGGGCUCAACCUGGGAACGGCAUCCGGAACUGUCAGGCUAGAGUGCAGGAGAGGAAGGUAGAAUUCCCGGUGUAGCGGUGAAAUGCGUAGAGAUCGGGAGGAAUACCAGUGGCGAAGGCGGCCUUCUGGACUGACACUGACGCUGAGGUGCGAAAGCGUGGGUAGCAAACAGGAUUAGAUACCCUUGUAGUC
rnacentral:rRNA from 1 species